rnacentral:rRNA from 1 species
GACGAACGCUGGCGGCGCGCCUAACACAUGCAAGUCGAGCGAGAACCAUUCCUUCGGGAAUGGGGACAGCGGCGAACGGGUGAGUAACACGUGGGUAAUCUACCCUCGGUUCUGGGAUAGCCCGGGGGAAACCCGGAUUAAUACCGGGAUAGCCUCUUUGGGGCCCUUCGGGUUCUUGUAGAAAAGGUAAGCUUCGGCCUCCGACUGAGGAUGAGCCGCGGCGGA